ensembl:antisense Gm42884 predicted gene 42884
GAGGCAAGCCAGUAAGAAACAUCCCUCCAUGGCUGCUGCAUCAGCUCCUGCUUCCUGACCUGCUUGAGUUCCAGUCCUGACUUCCUUUGGUGAAGAACAGCAGUGUGGAAGUAUCCAUAGAUAGAGACAAGGUGGAAGUCGGUUAUGGUUCACGAGCUCCUCCCUGCUAGACGGCAUCCUCCUCCGGGGGCUCUUGGGGAAGUCUCUUGUACUGGGACUCUCGAAGCAGAAGGAUCUUGUCCACGUGUCCUUCGGUGGUGGUGUGAAUGAAAGAACUCAUUCGCCGCGAUACAGAAUGAGUCAGGCAGUUAAGAAGACAAGGCCUGAAAACCAGCAGUACCAGGAUAAAGAGAAUGGGAGCCAUGAGGGAAGUCAACCAAGAGGGCAGCCAGGGUCCUAGCCCCAGCCACUGGAUCCAAGAA